rnacentral:rRNA from 1 species
GGAAAAGGGGCGGCGGGCUACACAUGCAAGUCGAGCGGAAACGAGUUAACUGAACCUUCGGGGAACGUUAACGGCGUCGAGCGGCGGACGGGUGAGUAAUGCCUGGGAAAUUGCCCUGAUGUGGGGGAUAACCAUUGGAAACGAUGGCUAAUACCGCAUAAUAGCCCGGUUCUUCGGAAUGGGUCUCAAAGAGGGGGACCUUUUAGGCCUCUCGCGUCAGGAUACGCCCAGGUGGGAUUAGCUAGUUGGUGAGGUAAUGGCUCACCAAGGCGACGAUCCCUAGCUGGUCUGAGAGGAUGAUCAGCCACACUGGAACUGAGACACGGUCCAGACUCCUACGGGAGGCAGCAGUGGGGAAUAUUGCACAAUGGGCGCAAGCCUGAUGCAGCCAUGCCGCGUGUAUGAAGAAGGCCUUCGGGUUGUAAAGUACUUUCAGCAGUGAGGAAGGUGGGUAUGUUAAUAGCAUACACAUUUGACGUUAGCUGCAGAAGAAGCACCGGCUAACUCCGUGCCAGCAGCCGCGGUAAUACGGAGGGUGCGAGCGUUAAUCGGAAUUACUGGGCGUAAAGCGCAUGCAGGUGGUUUGUUAAGUCAGAUGUGAAAGCCCGGGGCUCAACCUCGGAAUUGCAUUUGAAACUGGCAAACUAGAGUACUGUAGAGGGGGGUAGAAUUUCAGGUGUAGCGGUGAAAUGCGUAGAGAUCUGAAGGAAUACCGGUGGCGAAGGCGGCCCCCUGGACAGAUACUGACACUCAGAUGCGAAAGCGUGGGGAGCAAACAGGAUUAGAUACCCUGGUAGUCCACGCCGUAGACGAUGUCUACUUGGAGGUUGUGGCCUUGAGCCGUGGGCUUUCGGAGCUAACGCGUUAAGUAGACCGCCUGGGGAGUACGGUCGCAGAAUUAAAACUCAAAUGAAAUUGACAGGGGGCCCGCCACAAGCCGGUGGAAGCAUGUGGGUUUAAUUCGAAUGCAACCGCGAAGAACCCUUACCUUACUCUUUGAC